UACGGGGGGGGCAAGCGUUGUUCGGAAUUACUGGGCGUAAAGGGCUCGUAGGCGGCCAACUAAGUCAGACGUGAAAUCCCCAGGCUCAACCUGGGAACUGCGUCUGAUACUGGACGGCUUGAAUCCGGGAGAGGGAUGCAGAAUUCCAGGUGUAGCGGUGAAAUGCGUAGAUAUCUGGAGGAAUACCGGUGGCGAAGGCGGCAUCCUGGACCGGCAUUGACGCUGAGGAGCGAAAGCCAGGGGAGCAAACAGG
rnacentral:rRNA from 1 species